rnacentral:rRNA from 1 species
AUGAACGCUGGCGGCGUGCCUAAUACAUGCAAGUCGAACGCUUCACUUCGGUGAAGAGUGGCGAACGGGUGAGUAAUACAUAAGUAACCUGGCAUCUACAGGGGGAUAACUGAUGGAAACGUCAGCUAAGACCGCAUAGGUGUAGAGAUCGCAUGAACUCUAUAUGAAAAGUGCUACGGGACUGGUAGAUGAUGGACUUAUGGCGCAUUAGCUUGUUGGUAGGGUAACGGCCUACCAAGGCGACGAUGCGUAGCCGACCUGAGAGGGUGACCGGCCACACUGGGACUGAGACACGGCCCAGACUCCUACGGGAGGCAGCAGUAGGGAAUUUUCGGCAAUGGGGGAAACCCUGACCGAGCAACGCCGCGUGAAGGAAGAAGUAAUUCGUUAUGUAAACUUCUGUCAUAGAGGAAGAACGGUGGAUAUAGGGAAUGAUAUCCAAGUGACGGUACUCUAUAAGAAAGCCACGGCUAACUACGUGCCAGCAGCCGCGGUAAUACGUAGGUGGCGAGCGUUAUCCGGAAUUAUUGGGCGUAAAGAGGGAGCAGGCGGCACUAAGGGUCUGUGGUGAAAGAUCGAAGCUUAACUUCGGUAAGCCAUGGAAACCGUAGAGCUAGAGUGUGUGAGAGGAUCGUGGAAUUCCAUGUGUAGCGGUGAAAUGCGUAGAUAUAUGGAGGAACACCAGUGGCGAAGGCGACGAUCUGGCGCAUAACUGACGCUCAGUCCCGAAAGCGUGGGGAGCAAAUAGGAUUAGAUACCCUAGUAGUCCACGCCGUAAACGAUGAGUACUAAGUGUUGGGUGUCAAAGCUCAGUGCUGCAGUUAACGCAAUAAGUACUCCGCCUGAGUAGUACGUUCGCAAGAAUGAAACUCAAAGGAAUUGACGGGGGCCCGCACAAGCGGUGGAGCAUGUGGUUUAAUUCGAAGCAACGCGAAGAACCUUACCAGGUCUUGACAUCGAUCUAAAGGCUCCAGAGAUGGAGAGAUAGCUAUAGAGAAGACAGGUGGUGCAUGGUUGUCGUCAGCUCGUGUCGUGAGAUGUUGGGUUAAGUCCCGCAACGAGCGCAACCCUUAUGGUCAGUUACUACGCAAGAGGACUCUGGCCAGACUGCCGUUGACAAAACGGAGGAAGGUGGGGAUGACGUCAAAUCAUCAUGCCCUUUAUGACUUGGGCUACACACGUGCUACAAUGGACAGAGCAGAGGGAAGCGAAGCCGCGAGGUGGAGCGAAACCCAUAAAACUGUUCUCAGUUCGGACUGCAGUCUGCAACUCGACUGCACGAAGAUGGAAUCGCUAGUAAUCGCGAAUCAGCAUGUCGCGGUGAAUACGUUCUCGGGCCUUGUACACACCGCCCGUCACACCAUGAGAGUCGGUAACACCCGAAGCCGGUGGCCUAACCGCAAGGAAGGAGCUGUCUAAGGUGGGACUGAUGAUUGGGGUG